CCUACGGGUGACAGCAGUGAGGAAUAUUGGUCAAUGGGCGGAAGCCUGAACCAGCCAAGUAGCGUGCAGGAUGACUGCCCUACGGGUUGUAAACUUCUUUUAUACGGGAAUAACGCGCCUUACGUGUACGGCUUUGCAUGUACCGUAUGAAUAAGGACCGGCUAAUUCCGUGCCAGCAGCCGCGGUAAUACGGAGGGUCCGGGCGUUAUCCGGAUUUAUUGGGUUUAAAGGGAGCGUAGGCGGCCUGUCAAGUGUGCUGUGAAAUGUUGCGGCUCAACCCGGGACUUGCAGCUGGAACUGGCGUGCUUGAGUCCGCGGAAGGCAGGCGGAAUUCGUGGUGUAGCGGUGAAAUGCUUAGAUAUGACGAAGAACCCCGAUUGCGAAGGCAGCUUGCUGCAGCGGAACUGACGCUGAUGCUCGAAAGCGCGGGUAUCGAACAGGAUUAGAUACCCGGGUAGUC
rnacentral:rRNA from 1 species